UAUCUCUGUAGAGUCUGCAUAUCAAUAAGCGGAGGAAAAGAAACUAACUAGGAUUCCCUCAGUAACGGCGAGUGAAGCGGGAAGAGCUCAAAUUUGAAAUCUUCAAGGUUUUACCUUGACGAAUUGUAGUUUAAAGAAGUGUUUUCUGUUGGUGUUUUGGUAAAAGUUCUUGGAAUAGGACAUCAUAGAGGGUGAGAAUCCCGUAUUUGACCAUUACUUCCAGCGUUGUGAUACACUUUCAAAGAGUCGGAUUGUUUGGGAAUGCAGUCCAAAAUGGGUGGUAAAUUUCAUCUAAAGCUAAAUAUUGGCGAGAGACCGAUAGCGAACAAGUACCGUGAGGGAAAGAUGAAAAGAACUUUGAAAAGAGAGUUAAACAGUACGUGAAAUUGUCAAAAGGGAAGCGUUUGACACCAGUGUUGUUUUCUCGAAAAUCAAUUAAAAAAAGUUGGAUUUUGUAUUGUUAAGACCUUAUCAGCUUACUGUACUCUUUUCUUGCUUUUUUUAAUGCACUUUUCGUUUAACAAGUCAACAUCAAUUUCUUUUGUUGUAAAAGAGUCAUUGGAAGGUGGCUUUCACUUCGGUGAAAGUGUUUAUAGCCUUUGGCUUCUGCAAUCGGAGAGAUUGAGGUCUGCAGCGUAGAUCCUUCGGGGCUAGAUACGUAGAUGCUAAGUUAUAGUUUUUUAUAGACAACUUGUUGACUAUAAUUAAUCAUGUAGCUUACUCGUUUGCGCUAUUUUACCUACGCUUAGGAUGUUGAUAGUCACAGCGUGUAC
rnacentral:rRNA from 1 species